rnacentral:lncRNA from 1 species
AAUGACAAAAUAAAAAUGUAAAAAAUCAAAAUUAGAAACUAGAAUUUAUUUGGAGAAGAAUGCAAUUGGUCCCAUAUUUUUUGGAUUUAAAAUGAAGAAGAUAUGAAUUUUUGAAAAUAAAAGAAAUUAAAUCAGAAAAUAGAAAAAUAAAAAAAAACCAGGAGCGUCUGAUCAAGCCUCAUUAAUUGACGUGGUUGAUCAAACGCUCCAGACGCG